UACGAAGGGUGCAAGCGUUACUCGGAAUUACUGGGCGUAAAGCGUGUGCAGGUGGUUCGUUAAGUCUGCUGUGAAAGCCCCGGGCUCAACCUGGGAAUGGCAGUGGAUACUGGCGAGCUGGAGUGCAGUAGAGGGUAGUGGAAUUCCCGGUGUAGCGGUGAAAUGCGUAGAGAUCGGGAGGAACACCAGUGGCGAAGGCGGCUACCUGGACCAGCACUGACACUCAGACACGAAAGCGUGGGGAGCAAACAGG
rnacentral:rRNA from 1 species